rnacentral:rRNA from 1 species
CCUACGGGAGGCAGCAGUCGAGAAUCAUUCACAAUGGGGGAAACCCUGAUGGUGCGACGCCGCGUGGGGGAAUGAAGGUCUUCGGAUUGUAAACCCCUGUCAUGUGGGAGCAAAUUAAAAAGAUAGUACCACAAGAGGAAGAGACGGCUAACUCUGUGCCAGCAGCCGCGGUAAUACAGAGGUCUCAAGAGUUGUUCGGAAUCACUGGGCGUAACGCGUGCGUAGGCUGUUUCGUAAGUCGUGUGUGAAAGGCGCGGGCUCAACCCGCGGACGGCACAUGAUACUGCGAGACUAGAGUAAUGGAGGGGGAACCGGAAUUCUCGGUGUAGCAGUGAAAUGCGUAGAUAUCGAGAGGAACACUCGUGGCGAAGGCGGGUUCCUGGACAUUAACUGACGCUGAGGCACGAAGGCCAGGGGAGCGAAAGGGAUUAGAUACCCUAGUAGUC